rnacentral:rRNA from 1 species
AUGGAGCCAACCUUGAAAUACCACCCUUUAAUGUUUGAUGUUCUAACUCGGCCCCGUAAUCCGGGGUGAGGACAGUGUCUGGUGGGUAGUUUGACUGGGGCGGUCUCCUCCCAAAGAGUAACGGAGGAGCACGAAGGUUAGCUAAUCACGGUCGGACAUCGUGAGGUUAGUGCAAAGGCAUAAGCUAGCUUGACUGCGAGAGUGACGGCUCGAGCAGGUACGAAAGUAGGUCUUAGUGAUCCGGUGGUUCUGAAUGGAAGGGCCAUCGCUCAACGGAUAAAAGGUACUCCGGGGAUAACAGGCUGAUACCGCCCAAGAGUUCAUAUCGACGGCGGUGUUUGGCACCUCGAUGUCGGCUCAUCACAUCCUGGGGCUGAAGUAGGUCCCAAGGGUAUGGCUGUUCGCCAUUUAAAGUGGUACGCGAGCUGGGUUUAGAACGUCGUGAGACAGUUCGGUCCCUAUCUGCCGUGGGCGUUGGAAGAUUGAGAGGGGCUGCUCCUAGUACGAGAGGACCGGAGUGGACGAAUCACUGGUGUUCGGGUUGUCAUGCCAAUGGCAUUGCCCGGUAGCUAAAUUCGGAAGAGAUAACCGCUGAAAGCAUCUAAGCGGGAAACUUGCCUCGA